UACUGUGGAGCUUACACUUUCAAAUCUACUGUACACAUUUGAGUGGGAACUGCCUGAUGGGAUGAGAAAAGAAGACAGAGACACUGACUCACUGCCGGUUCUAACCUUUCAAAGGAAAAACAAACUUUGCUUGGUGCCUAAACUUUAUGCAUACUAGCUAGCUAGCGCUCUUAAUGGGAUAUAUCCUGCAGAUUUCAGUUUUAUAUAUAUAUAUAUAUAUAUAUAUCUAUGGACACUUCAUUUAAACAAUUCAUAUAUACAUAAUAAGAUGCAUUAAUACAGUAGAGAGUUGUAUUUCAAAUAAUAUUUAAUUUUAUUAUACAACUAUAACUCUCGCCUAUAUAGAUGCAAUUUGUUUAUAUAAAAUUGUUUAAAUUAACUGCCCAGCAUAUAUAUAUUAGUACUCCUACGUGCAUGCUACUAGAAUUGUGCUUGUUUGUACUUCUCAUGUUAUUUCUUUUCCUGCAAUAAUUUUCAAGCUAGCUAGCUUGUAUGGUUUGAAUGAUUUGAUCGAUCUAUGUAUUAAUUGUUAUAUUUCCAUGUAUAAGUUGAAUAAAUAUUUGUUUUAUUUUUGCUACUUUUAUUUAGUUCUGUGUUCUCAUAAAUAGUUAUCAUGGUGAUAUAUAUAUAUAUAUAUAUAUAUAUAUAUAUAUAUAUAUAUAUAUAUAUAUAUAUAUAUAUAUAGAACCCAUACCAAAGGAUCCAUGAAUUUCCUUCUUAAUAAUCUGUUAUACCCCACUCAUUUUCAGCUUCUCAACAAGAACAAACAAGGCUUGGGCUUUGGUUUGGUUUGUUUGUCUUUCUAAAGGACUUUCGCUUUGGCAGAUGGAAGUCAUUGUCCUUUAAUGGGCGGGCUUAAUCACAAGGAUUUAU
rnacentral:lncRNA from 1 species